CAAUAGCGUAUAUUAAAGUUGUUGCAGUUAAAAAGCUCGUAGUUGGAUUUGUGGUGUAUGGUGUGUUCCGGGCACUUGUUGUCUGAGUAACUUGCCAUUGCCAUCCUUGGGUGGAACCUGUGUGGCAUUAGGUUGUCGUGCAGGGGAUGCCCAUCGUUUACUGUGAAAAAAUUAGAGUGUUCAAAGCAGGCUUAUGCCGUUGAAUAUAUUAGCAUGGAAUAAUAAGAUAGGACUUUUUUGCUAUUUUGUUGGUUUGCGCGAGAAGGUAAUGAUUAAUAGGGAUAGUUGGGGGUAUUCGUAUUCCAUUGUCAGAGGUGAAAUUCUUGGAUUUUUGGAAGACGAACUACUGCGAAAGCAUUUACCAAGGAUGUUUNCAUUA
rnacentral:rRNA from 1 species